rnacentral:lncRNA from 1 species
UGAUGAGUGAGUUUUAUACCCAUGAAUUGGAUACAUUCGGGCUUAAUUUAUUGUUGUUCUUAAGUCUUUUAGGAUGUUUUUAUGUGUUUGUGUCUAUUCAAGCAUGUUUUAUAUUGUUUUGUAGGAUUUGGGACAAAAGUUACAUGGAUCGAUGUUUGGGGUGGCUAGAUUCGCGUUUUCGGCUUGCCAUUUACACAGCAGUCACUUCAGAGCCAAUUUGACUAUAUCUCCUGACAUUAUUUCGAAAAACUCAAAGAAUGAAAGUUGUAGAUCUACUUCUCCUCUUUCCGGAACAUCUUCAAUCAUUGAAAUCGGAGUUCAGACGAAG